GCCCAGGUGGUGAAAUUGGUAGACACGCUAGCUUCAGGUGCUAGUGGCCUUUGGGCCGUGGCGGUUCAAGUCCGCCUCUGGGCACCA
rnacentral:tRNA from 1 species